rnacentral:rRNA from 1 species
GAUGAACGCUAGCUACAGGCUUAACACAUGCAAGUCGAGGGGCAGCAUGAACUUAGCUUGCUAAGUUUGAUGGCGACCGGCGCACGGGUGAGUAACACGUAUCCAACCUGCCGAUGACUCGGGGAUAGCCUUUCGAAAGAAAGAUUAAUACCCGAUGGCAUAGUUCUUCCGCAUGGUAGAACUAUUAAAGAAUUUCGGUCAUCGAUGGGGAUGCGUUCCAUUAGGUUGUUGGCGGGGUAACGGCCCACCAAGCCUUCGAUGGAUAGGGGUUCUGAGAGGAAGGUCCCCCACAUUGGAACUGAGACACGGUCCAAACUCCUACGGGAGGCAGCAGUGAGGAAUAUUGGUCAAUGGACGAGAGUCUGAACCAGCCAAGUAGCGUGAAGGAUGACUGCCCUAUGGGUUGUAAACUUCUUUUAUACGGGAAUAAAGUGAGGCACGUGUGCCUUUUUGUAUGUACCGUAUGAAUAAG